GCUUCACUCUUCAAGGGAUGAUGGAGCUCUUGAUGCCUCUUUGAAUCUGCUCAAUCCCUUUCCUUGAUUCUUGAAUGAAGCUCUUGAUGAAGGAGAUUAGGGCUCUUUUAUUUUCUUGUGUAUUCUUUGAUAUCCCUCUCAAAAGUUCUUCUCUCUGAUGAAUAGUGCCCCUUUAAAUAGUUUCCAACCUUCCUUGGACAAGCCCCAAUGGUUAGAUUUAAAAAACUAGCCGUUACUCACCUUGGGAAGGACAAAAAGUACAUCUGCAGAACUAGCCGUUACUGUUCAGCCCGUGUUUGGGUCGGCUCAACCUGUCCUUGGGUCGACCCAACUUUGCCUUGGGUCGACUUAAACAUUCCUUGGG
rnacentral:lncRNA from 1 species